UACGUAGGGUGCGAGCGUUAAUCGGAAUUACUGGGCGUAAAGGGUGCGCAGGCGGUUAUAUAAGACAGAUGUGAAAUCCCCGGGCUCAACCUGGGAACUGCGUUUGUGACUGUAUGACUAGAGUACGGUAGAGAGGGGUGGAAUUCCUGGUGUAGCAGUGAAAUGCGUAGAUAUCAGGAGGAACAUCGAUGGCGAAGGCAGCCCCUUGGGACCUGUACUGACGCUCAUGCACGAAAGCGUGGGGAGCAAACAGG
rnacentral:rRNA from 1 species